UGGUGUAUAUCUGGUUUGAUAUUAUUGCUUAAUAGCUUAAUUUGUGUAUUAAUGAUUACUUAAGCCAAGUCUAUGUGCUGCUUGUAAAAGUUUUCAUGCGUUACGUUGAUAAGUUUGGUCAUGUAAGUGGCUUAAAGAUUUAUGACUUAAAAGUAAUAUUGUAUUAGUUUGUCUAUAUGAAAAGGGUUUAGGUCAAGCCACACCGC
rnacentral:rRNA from 1 species